rnacentral:rRNA from 1 species
GACGUAGGGCGCGAGCGUUGUCCGGAUUUAUUGGGCGUAAAGAGCUCGUAGGCGGCUCGUUGCGUCAACCGUGAAAACCCGGGGCUCAACUCCGGGCUUGCGGGCGAUACGGGCAGGCUAGAGUUCGGUAGGGGAGACUGGAAUUCCUGGUGUAGCGGUGAAAUGCGCAGAUAUCAGGAGGAACACCGGUGGCGAAGGCGGGUCUCUGGGCCGAUACUGACGCUGAGGAGCGAAAGCGUGGGGAGCGAACAGG